rnacentral:pre_miRNA from 1 species
UUAAUACCUGUGGAUCUUAUUAAAAUGCAGGUGCUGGUUGGGACUGAGAUUCUGCAUUGUUAGCAAGCUCCCAGAUGAUG